rnacentral:rRNA from 1 species
UCCUGGCUCAGGAUGAACGCUAGCGACAGGCUAACACAUGCAAGUCGAGGGGCAGCACGGGAGUAGCAAUACAACUGGUCGGCGACCGGCGCACGGGUGAGUAACGCGUAUGCAACCUACCUAUCAGAGGGGAAUAACCCGGCGAAAGUCGGACUAAUACCGCAGUAAAACAGGGGCACCGCAUGGUGAUAUUUGUUAAAGAAAUUCGCUGAUAGAUGGGCAUGCGUUCCAUUAGGUAGUUGGUGAGGUAACGGCUCACCAAGCCGACGAUGGAUAGGGGAACUGAGAGGUUGGUCCCCCACACUGGUACUGAGACACGGACCAGACUCCUACGGGAGGCAGCAGUGAGGAAUAUUGGUCAAUGGGCGAGAGCCUGAACCAGCCAAGUCGCCGUGAAGGAAGAAGGAUCUAUGGUUCGUAAACUUCUUUUGCAGGGGAAUAAAGUGCGGGACGUGUCCUGUUUUGUAUGUACCCUGAGAAUAAGGAUCGGCUAACUCCGUGCCAGCCGCCGC